GCGCAUUUGCGCUCUCUGCCUCUCUCCGGCCGUGGCUCGCUGCCACCGUUCCCGUUAUCUGAUCCAGACCCCAGUCUCAGACUCAGGCAUGUAGGUCUAAAGCGCUCUCCGGGCGCUGCCUACAGCGCGACUCUCCGGAUGAAAACCCCGUUUAAUCGCAAUCACAAGCCACAGAAAGUAAAAGCGAGCGAAAAGCGGCGUCGCACACACUCACAACUAGCGGACCGCGCAGAACGAAACAUCAGAAAAUGUGUGUAAUACAAAAAUCCGUUGACGCGUUCGCCUUUGGUUUUUUGCAGAGGAAUUGUCGAGCGAACGCUUUCAUAUGUGGGGCCAAACGUUGGAGGAGCCACAAGCACGCUUGCAUCGGGAGCCAUCCGAUAUCUCACAUCGAGAGGAUAUCGGGAUACACGGUGUCUGGAUGCCGAGUUCGGGGAUACGAGAAAUGGCUUCUGGACCCCAGACUGGACUCCGGCUGGCAGGCAGCCGCAUGUGUAUAUGCACUCUAGAGUCGUUAAUGCCAGUGCCGCCAAAAGGUUCCCCCAGACGUUGGACAUGGGCGUUGACACAUGCAACAACAUAAUCAAUAUAAAAAGCGAAGAUAAAACCCCAAAAAAUAAAUUGUUUAAAUUUUAAAUUUGAAAA